AGGCUAGGCUGUAAUAUUAGGUAAAAUCUAAUUUCAGUUUGGUUAUCACAUAGCGUUCAUUUCCCUAAGGGAGGAGAAAAAAUUAAAUUUGUAAGCUUAAGAUUCCAGCUGAAGUACUCGUUCUGCUUUCUGUUUUCUCUGAAAGAGCCGUGA
rnacentral:lncRNA from 1 species